rnacentral:rRNA from 1 species
GACGAACGCUGGCGGCGUGCUUAACACAUGCGAGUCGAACGAAGAGCGAUGGAAGCUUGCUUCUAUCAAUCUUAGUGGCGAACGGGUGAGUAACGCGUAAUCAACCUGCCCUUCAGAGGGGGACAACAGUUGGAAACGACUGCUAAUACCGCAUACGAUCUAACCUCGGCAUCGAGGAUAGAUGAAAGGUGGCCUCUACAUGUAAGCUAUCACUGAAGGAGGGGAUUGCGUCUGAUUAGCUAGUUGGAGGGGUAACGGCCCACCAAGGCGAUGAUCAGUAGCCGGUCUGAGAGGAUGAACGGCCACAUUGGGACUGAGACACGGCCCAGACUCCUACGGGAGGCAGCAGUGGGGAAUCUUCCGCAAUGGACGAAAGUCUGACGGAGCAACGCCGCGUGAGUGAUGACGGCCUUCGGGUUGUAAAGCUCUGUUAAUCGGGACGAAAGGCCUUCUUGCGAAUAGUGAGAAGGAUUGACGGUACCGGAAUAGAAAGCCACGGCUAACUACGUG